rnacentral:rRNA from 1 species
UGGGGAAUCUUGCGCAAUGGGCGAAAGCCUGACGCAGCGACGCCGCGUGAGUGAUGAAGGCCUUCGGGUUGUAAAGCUCUGUGGAGGGGGACGAAUAAGUCGGAGCGAACAGCUCCGAUGAUGACGGUACCCUUUUAGCAAGCACCGGCUAACUCUGUGCCAGCAGCCGCGGUAAGACAGAGGGUGCAAACGUUGUUCGGAAUUACUGGGCGUAAAGCGCGUGUAGGCGGCUCUGAUAAGUGAGGUGUGAAAGCCCUGGGCUCAACCCAGGAAGUGCACUUCAAACUAUCGAGCUUGAAUGCUGGAGAGGAAAGCGGAAUUCUCGGUGUAGAGGUGAAAUUCGUAGAUAUCGAGAGGAACACCGAUGGCGAAGGCAGCCUCCUGGGCCAGUACUGACGCUCAUGCACGAAAGCGUGGGGAGCAAACA